rnacentral:rRNA from 1 species
UACGUAGGGGGCAAGCGUUGUCCGGAUUUAUUGGGCGUAAAGAGCGUGUAGGCGGCCUGAAAGGUCAGCUGUGAAAACUCGAGGCUCAACCUCGAGACGUCGGUUGAAACCAUCUGGCUAGAGUCCGGAAGAGGAGAGUGGAAUUCCCGGUGUAGCGGUGAAAUGCGCAGAUAUCGGGAAGAACACCCGUGGCGAAGGCGGCUCUCUGGACAUUUUCUGACGCUGAGGCACGAAAGCCAGGGGAGCAAACGGG